rnacentral:lncRNA from 1 species
UCGCGCCGUGCUGCCCAGCCGGCGCCGCUGCCACAAGAGCCACUUGCACUGGCGAGGACGCGUUCGACCUGCAGGUCUCAUGUAGGCUCUCGGGCAGCGGCUGCGGAAGGUGGUGGUGGUACGUCGAGGUCGGCGCCCAGGAAGGUGCGGGCGCGGGGGUCACGUCGGCGGGGAAGUUGAGCUUGGCGCGGCGGCCCCGGAACUCGAUGGCAGCGAUGUCGUAGGCACGUGCGGCGUCCUCGGCGGUGUCGAAGGUGCCGAGCCACUUGCGCACGGCGCGAUGUGGGUCACGGAUCUCCGCCGCCCACUUGCCCCACGGCCGCCGGCGCACGCCGCGGUACUUACUCACCCUCCCCCUCUGCCGCCGCCGCAGCUUGCCCACACCCCCGGUGAUGGCGGCACGGCUGGCGGAAGCGGAGCACUCCCCUCCAUCGUCGCUGUCGCUGCUCGACCCGAUCCCCGUCACGGCGAGGAGCUCGCAGCCGCCGGCGGCGCACCCGUUCGCGCCGCAUGUGGUGCAGGUGCACGGCGCGGGAGCUUCGACGACUGGUGCCUCCGCCUCCUCCGGGAGCAGCGCGGGCACGGCGUUGUCCCCUGACA